rnacentral:rRNA from 1 species
CGGGGGGCGUGCUUACCAUACAGUCGAACGAUGAUCCCAGCUUGCUGGGGGAUUAGUGGCGAACGGGUGAGUAACACGUGAGUAACCUGCCCUUAACUCUGGGAUAAGCCUGGGAAACUGGGUCUAAUACCGGAUAUGACUCCUCAUCGCAUGGUGGGGGGUGGAAAGCUUUUUGUGGUUUUGGAUGGACUCGCGGCCUAUCAGCUUGUUGGUGAGGUAAUGGCUCACCAAGGCGACGACGGGUAGCCGGCCUGAGAGGGUGACCGGCCACACUGGGACUGAGACACGGCCCAGACCCCUACGGGAGGCAGCAGUGGGGAAUAUUGCGCAAUGGGCGAAAGCCUGAUGCAGCGACGCCGCGUGAGGGAUGACGGCCUUCGGGUUGUAAACCUCUUUCAGUAGGGAAGAAGCGAAAGUGACGGUACCUGCAGAAGAAGCGCCGGCUAACUACGUGCCAGCAGCCGCGGUAAUACGUAGGGCGCAAGCGUUAUCCGAAAUUAUUGGGCGUAAAGAGCUCGUAGGCGGUUUGUCGCGUCUGCCGUGAAAGUCCGGGGCUCAACUCCGGAUCUGCGGUGGGUACGGGCAGACUAGAGUGAUGUAGGGGAGACUGGAAUUCCUGGUGUAGCGGUGAAAUGCGCAGAUAUCAGGAGGAACACCGAUGGCGAAGGCAGGUCUCUGGGCAUUAACUGACGCUGAGGAGCGAAAGCAUGGGGAGCGAACAGGAUUAGAUACCCUGGUAGUCCAUGCCGUAAACGUUGGGCACUAGGUGUGGGGGACAUUCCACGUUUUCCGCGCCGUAGCUAACGCAUUAAGUGCCCCGCCUGGGGAGUACGGCCGCAAGGCUAAAACUCAAAGGAAUUGACGGGGGCCCGCACAAGCGGCGGAGCAUGCGGAUUAAUUCGAUGCAACGCGAAGAACCUUACCAAGGCUUGACAUGGACUGGAAAUACCUGGAAACAGGUGCCCCGCUUGCGGUCGGUUCACAGGUGGUGCAUGAUUGUCGUCAGCUCGUGUCGUGAGAUGUUGGGUUAAGUCCCGCAACGAGCGCAACCCUCGUUCUAUGUUGCCAGCGCGUUAUGGCCGGGGACUCAUAGGAAGACU